rnacentral:lncRNA from 1 species
AUGAGUGUCCCCAUAACAACAGACAAGACACAAGAACAGCCACAGGAAGGGUGUGAUAGGAGCUCCUCCUGGAUGAGGGGGCCCUCCAUCCAAGGACAGUGUCCUCCUAAGAGACACAAGAGGAAACAGAGGAGAAGCCACGGGAAGAUGGAGGCAGAGACGGGAGAGAGGUGGCCUCCAGCCGAGGGCUGCCUGGAGCCCCCAGAGGGAGCCGCCUUCUGGAGGGAGCAGCCCUGGGACCCCUUGACCUCAGAUGUCUGGUCCCCAGGAUGGAGGAGGGUGGGUUCCUGUGGUUUGAACCCACGUGAUUUGUGGUCAUUAUCACUCCUGCCCCCUCUCCAAAACCAAUUUACAGAGCAAAGACGACCAAUCUCUACAUACAUCAGAAUUAACACAUGACAAUUAACUUGCAGAGAUACACCUGUCAGGAAAAACGAGCCAGGUAAUUGUUUACAGAGGUGAGCCUCAGCCUUGAAAAAGCAAAGUGUCUGCUCUUCGACGGUCGGCCACAGGACUAGUCCCCAGUGUUGUCACCUCUUCCCUGUGUCAGACCGAAGUCAUGAAAUAAUGUCCACAUCGUGAUGCCUUAGAACCCUGAUUAUAACCUGAGAGGUACCUGGGGGAGGGCGAUGCCACCAGCCCCAAAGCCUGUUCCAAAUCCAUGCCUGCCCUGCACCAGCCACCCUGCCUCGGUCAGCAGGGCAGGUGAAGCCAUUUGUCCGUUUUUAACUUCCAUGAAAACCACAGAGAGUCUGAAGCAGGUACGAACAAGACUUAAUUGGUUUCUAGAGACUUCGAUUAGGGAGAACUGGUAAUAGGGAAAGGGCGAGAUCUCGGACGUCUGCCAGGAGGACGUGUUUGUGGAAAAGCAGAAACACAUUUUAUUGUUAAAGGAAAAUUAUUUGCCUGCUCACAGCACUUCUGACACCCAGCGUGGGGCAUUUCCACACCAAGGAAUACUCCAGUUCCCCUCGGAUACCGGCUGGGUGUCGUCCAAUUCAAUUCACCUUGGAAACGACCCCGAGUUGAUGCAAACCUGUGUCGAGAGGAGCCCAGGCCCCACUACUGUCCCACCUCACCACCAACCACAGGCGGGGGUUCCAGUUCACCCACACUUGUCUCUAAACUGCUACACAGGCUCCCCACAGCCCCCCUCACACAACUCAGAAAACAAGUGACUUACCUGUUGCUCAUAAAGAGGUCAACACCCAGAAGAGGAGGGCAAGAGCAAGGUUUGGGGACUGCCAUGUGCAGGAGCUUGUCUUCAUGGAUGUUUGGGGUGCAGCACCCUGCCAACUGUGGGCUCCCCAAUCUGGAAGCUUUAUGAACCCCUGUUUAGGGAGGUUCUGCCAAGUAGGAGUGGUUCAAGCCUUGGCCCCUCAGCAACUCCCGAGGUUUG